CUAAGAGGAAGGAAGACAGCUCAUGUGUGGACUCGGAAGACGCAACUGGUGGAGGCCCAGCAGAAGUGCAGCACACCGGGAGAGAGGAGGAUGAAAACCCACGGGUCGAUGAUGGAAUUGACCGAGAUGAAACGGAGGGCAAUCAGAUCCACGUCGUGGGAUUCUUUGCGGACGCCAACCGAGUUGAUGUACACACGAACCUGAAAUCAGAUCAAGAUUAAACCCAUUGAACUCAAUGAUGGCAGCCAGAGUAAACUUUGAAGAAAGGAAAUUAAUUCUAAAAUGCUACUGGAACUAUGCAGUUGAAUUGCAAAGACAAUUUAGGAGGGGGUUUCAGAAAGAACCACCAACGAGAGUUACUAUCACUCGAGUUAGGGAUAAAUUUGAAGCUGAUGGAAGUGUUCCGGAAGACCACGGACAUUGACAAGCCGCACAAAGGAAGAACGAGUACUGGAAACAUUUCAGCGAAGUCCAAGAAUGUCUGUACGGCAAGCUUGUCGUGAGGUAGGGAUUUCAAGAGCAUCUGUCCAUGACGUUUGUAAAUACUUGUGCAUUUUGAAAAUUAUACAAUUAUAAUAAACACCUAGUUUGAAAUUACAAAACCCAAAACCCCAACAGGUUUAAUCUUCAAAAAAAAUACAAAACAUUUAGUUAUCAGCUGAUGAAGGGUGUAUACAUUUUUUUGGGACACCCUAUAUUUAUUUUCACAUAGGGGAUAAGGGAAAUGAAUGGAUGGAUGGAUAUUAAUAUGGGACAACUAAUUAUGUAAAAAAAACCUCCAGAAGACAGAUACAUCUAAUAAUUUUAUUUCUGAAAGAAAUAUGUCGACACGAGCGCGGAUGAUUCUCUUUCUUCAUUGUCUGUCAUGUUGCAGCGGUCGCCUCCUUCUUACCCCAGUGCAGACUGUGCCAAUUAGCAGGCGCAUUUCAAACGUGGUAAAUAAAAAACAGCGGCCGAAAAACUUUCAGGUUUGAUGAAUCACAUUAUGGGCUCGAAAUAAUUACAUUUGUACCUUCUUCUCCCAAUAUUGUACAAGUUCUGAUAAUCAGUAUGUACAUUUCAUAUACUGCACAUGGGAGCAAACACUCUCAAUGUUUGCUAUUUUGCAAAUUUUUUAGAUGCAAUCCUCUGCACACGGGCAUAGUACAUCAGCCUUGAGUGCGCUAAAAAGUUUUCACUUGUUUUAAUACAUGCAAACCUUUAGUACAGGGCUCGGCAACCCAAAACGUUGAAAGAGCCAUAUUGGACCAAAAAUACAAAAAACAAAUCUGUCUGGAGCCGCAAAAAAUAUGAAAAGCUGUAUAUAAGUCUUAUAAUGAAGGCAACACAUGACGUGUCUAUAUUAGCUAUAAUAGCCUACUAUCAAAAUGACUAUGUGUCGCAGGCUGUACUUCGUUGACAGAAUUUUUUUAAUUUAAUAUUUAUU